rnacentral:lncRNA from 1 species
UCCUUGGAAAUCUUGCUGUUUUCUCCUUUUUCAGCUUCAACAGCAACCUUGAGUUCCUCUGCCCUUAAUCUGGUUUUCAGAACUUGAUCUCCUAAGCGGGGAAUCAACACAAUUUGGCAGUCACUGAGCAAAGAUUCCCACAUGGUUCUUGGACCACAGUGAUUCACGAAACACCCAAUAGAUGGGUGACUGAGUAACAGCUCUUGGGGAAACCAACCACCAUGCAGCAACCCUCUUCCUUGAAUCCUUUCUUGAAACCCCUCAGGCAAUGCCUCUUCAAUCCUUGUGCAUUCGUCUGGUGGUGUUAAAGCCACCAAGAAAGGUUGCCCUGAUAACUCAUGCCCAAGAACUCACUCUUGAAACUCCUCCUUUUGCAAUGUAAUCUGGCUCCCAAAUGCACAAAACACCACAGAACUUGGCUCAAAGUUGCUUAGCCAAUUAGCCCAUUUGUCUUCAAGCUGCGUGGCAUUUGUUUCAGGGAGGCAAGUCCCCCGUUAGCAUUACAGGCUUGCCAAAAUGUUGAGCAACAUAGUCACAGUAAGGUCCCUCAAUUUCACGGUGAGCCCUAAAGGCUAUGACAUCACUGUCAUUCAUGCUAGUUAUUAUCCGGUCCCGAAAUGACAAUCCUAUUCCAAAGAUUUUCAGCGCACUUGUCAGAACGGAAGCCUCUUCAGCUCUGAGUUUCACCUUGGAAGAAGGAUAACCAGGAGGAACUUCUAUCAACUCUUCUACAGUCAUUUCCUUUGUAACUUUCUUUGUCAAGAAAUAAGCGUGUGCGGCUGCAGUCACCACGGCAUAGUAAAUGGACUUGAUGUCGAUUUGGUGCGCCAAGGCUGGAAUCCAAUACCCGAAAUCAUAGAAAACUAUAUCAGGCUUUAUAGACCUUAAAAUGGCUUCAACUUGAUCUCGUGUUUGAUCAAAUGCAAUAGCAAACAAGCUAUGCAGUGGUAGAGGAACAUCGGAUGUAGUUUGGGCGCCUGGCAGGAUACCAUCUACAUGGGAAACAACAAGAGGAAAGAACUGAAUAAGAUUUGGAUAUUGGUUAAGUUGUUCCAACUUUGGCUGUGCUCCUUUAGGCAAUAAGAAGGAGACCUCGUGGUCUUUCUCAGCAAGCUUGUUUGACAGGUGAAGGAAAGGGAUGAAAUGGCCAAAGGAAAACCAUGGAAACAUGGCUACGUGAAGCUUGGAGGUGUUGGAGUUUUUCAUCUUUGCCUUGCAAACUGUGUUACUGUGACUGAGUUCAAAGGAAGUUAUAUAUAGGGGUAUUUUUAAAAGUACCCCUUAAAAGAUAAGAUACUUUUAAAAAUAACUCUCUUUAUAAUUUUAACUAUUUUUAGCUAAAUUAGAUAAAAUUACCCUUAAUAAAAUAACACGCUAUGUUGUUACAUGUCAUGUACAAAAACAUAUGAUACGCUAUGGUUAAGUUGUUACAUGUCAUGUACAAAAAUAUGUGACAUGUCAUGGUUAAGUUGUUACACGUUAUGUUAAAAAAAAAUACUGUUGUUACACGUCAUGUACAAAAACAUGUUACACGCCAUGGUUAGGUUGUUACAUGCUAUGUACAAAAACAUCUGAUAUAUCAUGAUUAGGUUGUUACUUGUCAUGUUAAAAAAAAAUGUUAUUGUUACACGCCAUGGUUAGGUUGUUACACGCCAUGGUUAGGUUGUUACACGCCAUGUUGAAAAAAAAUACUGUUGUUACAUGUCAUGUACAAAAAUAUGUUACACGUCAUGGUUAAAAAAGAUUAUUACAUGUUAUGUUGAAAAAAAAAUAUUGUUGUUACAUGCCAUAUUGAAAAAAUAUUGUUGUUACACGUCAUAUUUAAAAACAAUUUGUUACACUUUAAUGCCUAAAAUAUUGUUGUUAUUUACGAACCAAAACUUCAAUUCCUCUCAACUCUCUUCUUUUUUUUUGUUUUUUUUUUGAUAAUUUAGCGCCAAUUAAAGUGUUUAUAAUAUGUUUUCAUAAAUCAAAACAUAAAUUUUUUUAUCUAAAACACCUAUUUCAACUAAAAAUAAAAAAAUUUCUUUUGAAAACCUAGGUUUAUAAAUUUCAAAAUUUUGAGUUUAUUGGUGUUUAGGUCUCGAAUUGAUUCAAUUAAGAACUAUUUCAAACAUCUAAGAUCAUUUUUACCAUUUUAAUUUUAUCCAAAAUACCUACAAAUCAAAUUCUCUAAAUAGCUACUCACCAAAGCACAUCAAAACCAUUACUUGGUGUCUUGAAAACACAAGAAAGAAAAAUCUUAAAAUGAGAGAGAGAGAAAUCGGAAGUAUAGCAGACGAAUGUCGAAGAGAGAAAUUGAUAAAAUUUGAGAGAGUAGGAUGGUGAGAGAGAAAUCAGAAGCACAAAUGGAGAAAAAUUGUGAUGAAUGAUUUAAUUUAUUUAAAAUAAUUUCAAAAGUAUUUUUGUCAUGACUAAAUAUAAUUAAAAAUAAUUAAAUUUAUUUUAAUGAUUAUUUUUAAAAUAUUUUUAUUAAAAAAAUUUAUUCCUUAUAAUUUUCUCUUAUAUAUAUCAACAUUACGUGCCUGACAAAACUGCUAGAAAUUUUGUCGGCAUGGCCAAAAUGCAAGUCAUCAUAGUAAUUUGCCAUGACAGCAGCCAAAUUUAUAUAAGACCCUACUUGACUUGACGUAGACAUCCUUUCACAGCAGAAAAUGGGUGGAAUAAUUAUCAAAAACUUAAAAUUUUAUUUUAUUAAAUUAAUUAAAUAAGUAAACCGUUAUGUUAACUUUACAUGAAAUAAUUUAAAUAAGGUGGGCCAAGGUGGGGCUCCUUUCAAUGGUACAAAUGCCUUUAAUGAGAGGACACUCGGAAAUGAUCCCUUCAUCAAUAUGAUCCACUCAUACAAAGCCCUUCUUAAAUUAAAAGUCACUUAUGACAUUUGGUAUUACGUUAAUAAUUGAGUUCAAUGCUGGUAGGAGCUCAACAACUUGAUGUAACAAUAUUUAUGAAAAAAAGAAUGUAGAUUCGUGGUCGUAAACGUGUCGCUGGAUAUUGUGCAUUUAUUUGUGUUGAAUUAUUGAGUAAGAUGUAUUCGAUUAAUCAAAUGAAAUAGUUGGUUCAAAGUAUAGUCUUUCAUGUAAUUUUGUUUAACUUUAACACGUUUUUACUAAAUGAAAGUUCAAUCGGAUGAUAUGAGUUUCUAAUCAAUUCGAUAUCCAUAUUAUAUUAGUGCAAUCCAAUUCCAAAAAUUUUUGGGCUUAAUUGUCUCAAUAGCAGCCCCUUCAGCUUUGUAUCUCACCUUGGAAGAAGGAUAACCAGGAGGAAGCUUUAUCAGCUCUUCUACAGUCAUUUCCUCUGUAAUUUUCCUUGUGCUAUGCGCGUUUGCGGCUUUAGAGAACAUGAAAUAGCCAAUGGGCUUGAUGCCGAUUUGGUGAGCCAAGGCUGGAAUCCAAUUUCCCCAAAUCAUAGAAAACCAUAUCAGGCUUUGUAUGGCCCUUAAAAUGGCUUCAACUUGAUCUCGAGUUUGAUCAAUUGCAAUAACAAGCAAGCUACUUAGUGGCUGAGGAACAUCAGAUGCAUUUGUUUUGGAUAUGGCAAUUUCUGCGAGAAUGGAACUAAGGAACUGGGGGAUAUGAAGAAAGAAGUCACGACUACGAGGGAAGAGAUGUGGAGUAUGAAGUCAUAUCAACUAUUGCGCUGAUCCUCCAACAUGUGAAGCCGGUAACCAAUUUAGAGGCUUCAUCACAGUAGUCGGGCCCUUUUAAUAGUAAGGAGGCACGACUGAGGGACAAUGAUACUAGUUAGAUUAUAAGUUUAUUUAUUUAUAUAUUUUUUAUUGAUUGCAAUAUCGAAUAGUUUGUAAUUUUUUAUUUAUUUUUAUAAAAAUCAAAUAUUUUUUAUAAAUAUUAGUAUUUUUCAAUAUUAUUAUUUAUUUGUAUUUGCAUUAUUCAUUUGGAAUGACAACAAGAAUGAACAAAACCAAACAAUUUCAAUGGUCCUAGAAAAAAAAUGGUUUCAGAUACAUUCCACUUUAUUACUAAUGGAAUUACCAAUUGAUAUAGCAGUUUACCGACGAAAUUAUGUACAGCGUUAAUGAUAGAAUAAACUUCAUCAUCGGCAGAAAUGAAGACAUCAUCGAUGAAAACUACAUACAUUCGAACUACUGAGCUUCAUUAGCACUUCUGUUCAAAAUUCUGUCUAUAAAUUACUGGCAAAAUUUGCCGAUGAAAUGCUAUCAAUAUAGACCAAUCAUCCCUCCGACGGAUUGGAUGCUUUGUUGACUGAGUUUUCGAUAGAAUAUUCUGUCAACAAUUUUUCAAUGAAAUAUUCAAAUACUGAUGGCAUGCCCUUUACCGGUGGUGAUAUUUUCUAUGAAUUUUGAACUUUUAUCAACGGAAAUUUUCAUUGGUAAAAGUGUUAAAUUUGGUAGUGGAAUAGCACCUGAGUAUUGGUUCAUUGGUUGGUGCAUUAUCCCCUACCUAAAGAGUAGGGUUCGAAUCCCCUCUCCUUCAAUUAUAUAAAAAAAAAAUAGUAGUGAAAUAACUAUCGUUAGUCAAAAUGUCACUUGUUAUUUCAUGUCACAUGAUGCUAACAUGACAUGUUGAAAAAACAUAAUGACAUUAUUACGUGAUAUUUUUCAUGCUUUGUGUCAACGUCAUAUGAGUAUAAAAACUACAAAAUGACAUUUUAAUUAAUCACAGUUAGUCAAUCUUUAAUAAAAAAGAUCUAUAUGAAUUAAAAUAAAAGUACAGGUUUUUAAUUUAACGUAAUAAAAAAAUAAAUUUUUUUAAUAACUUAGGAUUUAUUGCAAUUUGGGUUUAGGUCUACAUUAGUUUAUAGAUGGGUAACAAUUUAUUGCAAUUUGCAAGACAAAUCUUUCAUUCCAAUUUGAGGGAUUCUUGACUGUUAAUCAUAUUCAGAUUUUAUUAUCAAGGAAAAUACAUCACGCACCAAUUAUUUGAGAAACCACUAACAUUGUUUAUUUAUUUAUUGUAUGGAGCAAUUAACAAUGAGUUCAUGCACUUUUGGACUUUUGAGGGAUUGGGUGAGGAGAGAUGCAUAAAAGAAAAUGAGAAUAUGAUGGAAUAAAUAUAGUUUGUUUUUUUAAUACCCCAACUCAAAAAUACGAUUACAUUAUUAUGUUUCCAAAAUCUUAAACUUGAUAAAUAGGUUUUAUUAAAAUUACUUAUAAAAUAUUUGAGCGUAAAAUAGAAUAGUUGUAUAUUAAGGACCUUUUAGCAAAUAGAGUGGUUUUAUUUUAAUUGGAGUCUGAUUAUAUUAUCAUGUUAAAAAAAAUAGUUAUAUCUUAUCAUAUUUUAAAAAGAAAAUCAAUUGAUUUUAUUUAAGUCAAUUUUAAAAAGAGAAGUAGUAAGACAAGUUUAAAGAAAAACAGGUAAAGUCAGUUUAUUUUAUCACAUAUAAGGAAGUUAAGGUUAGUUUUUAUUAUCAUGUUUAAAGAAAAGAAAAAAAAUACAGCAAAAAAAAUUAUUUGGGAGAAACUAAUCCUAUAGAAGAAGGUAGAAAAAGGAAAGAUUUGUUUAAGAAAGCAGUGAUUAAGGUAUGAUUAGGUUUUGACUUUAGUUUAUGUUUUUUUAAAUUUUGUUCAAAUUCGGUACUGUUCUGAUGACUUUUCAGUGGUAUGAUGGGUACCAAUGGAAAGGUCUUGAAAAGAUCUUUCCAAUGGUUUAUGUAGCUUCUCGUUUGGCUUUAUGAUUAAAAAGAUACGAACUUUUGAAGUUGAUUGGAAACCUGAUUUUAAUAGUUUUGACGAUCCAACUUUGAGUCAACGGAACUUCAUAUUCUGGUAACAUUUUGGGUUGUUUCUUUGAGGGCUUUUGCAGUAUGAAAUGAGGUGUUUAAUUUGGUGUCAAUGGCUUAGUUAGGGCUUCCUAAGUUAGGAGAAUUAAAGUCUCAAAAUAGGUUCGUUGAUAUUAAAAACCCAGAAAUCUGAGUAAGUAUGAUGAUUUCUAAAAUUUUGGCUUUUGAAACUUGAGAAUCUUGUAUUCUUUUUAAUCAAAACAAAUUUUGGCGUUAUAGUAUGAUAUGAAUACUUCAAAUUGGCGUUGAAUUUAUCAUUGGAAAUAAUUCGGGUUAAGAGUUAUCAGUGUUUGAAGUAAGCCAAAUGGUCAUGAAAAUAUGAAAUUUCAAAAUUUAUGAGAAUCCAUUUUUCAUUAUUUCAAAAAUUAUUCUUGACCUAUAUUCAACCUAUUUUGAUAGAAACUUCAGAAAUUUAAGCUAUUUGAAUUUUAGUGAAUUUUAUUUAUGAAUAAAUAUUUAUCUGAUAAAUUAAUUUGAAUUGACAUAUUUUAAAAAUUUUUAUUAAAAAUCUUCAGAUCUAAUUUUUGAUUUGUAUUUAAAAUAUUAUUACCCAACCUCAUAUUGUUACUGAUUUUGUACUAUAAUCUAUGAGUUUCUAAGUUUUGAAUAUUUUAUGUAUUUAUAAAUUAUUAAAGGAAUAAAAAUUGAUUUUCGAUCAGAAAAAAGAGGUGCUGCACCCUAAAUGCCUUAGAAUGACCACCAAAGAGUCGUGGUUCGUUUUGAUAGGUUAGCAAUGCUGUUUUCUAAUUUCGAGUAUUUUGAAUUAAUAGACUUCAAGAAGAUUUUAAUUCUUUGUCUUUUGAUUUUGGUUUUAGCGAAUCAAGUAAGUGACAAAUAUCUCUUCGGUGUUUUCAUACCCUAAAAUUUACCUCAAUGUGAUUUUCAUACUUAUAUAUGAUAUUUUGUCCUAUGAUUUGUUAAAUCGGGUGAGCAUGCUAAUAAAUGUAAGUAAAUAUGAUCUCUAUGCUGAUUUUUGGAAUAUGAUUUCGAUUUUUGUUUUGGAACAUAAGUUUUAUCAUUGUAUGCAUAUAUGAUUAUCUUUAUAAAUAUUUAAUUUGAAACGAUUAUGUUUUUGAUAAGCAUGAGAUAGUGGAUACACUAUUUUGAGAAAUUCGGGUAGUACAAAAAUAUAUGUUUCUGUUUUGUCUCCUAGUAUGGUUAUGUUAUGAUCCUGCCAAUGGGGGUUAAAUGUUGACCAUGUCGACAUAUAUUUUGUGAUUAGAAAUCGAUCUCCCAACCGCACCACCAGUUACAGAAUAACAGUAUUUCUGAUAUCUGUUCAGAGCAGCCAAUGAUUGCUUCUGAUAUGAUUAUGACCCAUGUCACAAGGGUUAAUUGUGGUUUCGAUACGAUUAUGACCCAUGCCACUAAGGUUAAUAAUGGUUUCUGCUAUAAUUAUGACCUAUGUCGUAAGGGUUAAGUAUGACCAUAGUAUGUUAUAGGAGACCAAUAAAAAUUUGAAAUUAAUGUGAAAUUAUGUUUUGUUCUGUUAUUUGAAAGUUUCGAAAUUGUGUUAGUUAUGUUAUUGGAAGCAAAAUUAUGUUUGCUUUUAUAAUUUAAAAAUAAAAUUUUGAAAUAUAUGUUUCUGAAUGAGAUUACUCAAAAUUUUGUUUUGACACCUAUAUAUGAAUUAGUAAUUUGGGCUUAAAUGUUUUGAGCAUGCUUAACCCGAUUGAAGAGAUUUCCGUUACUUACUGAGUGGUUGUACUCAUUCAAUUAAUUUUCAUCAUUUUACAAAUUUCAACAUCUUUGCAUGUUUGGGAGUUAGACUUGCUUGGCAAGAGUUUUGGUUAGCAAAAUUAACGUAUGCCCUUGAAUAAUUAUAAGCUUUGAUGUGAGUAAUUAGUUUUUAGUUUAUUAAGCAGAUGUUAGCUAGAUCAGAAAUUUUGUAUCAUUGGGGGAUUGUAUGUUAAUAUUAUAUUUUGAGACUUGAAAUUUUGUGAGGUGUCAACUUUGAAAAGAUUGUGGAGAUAUUAUAUUGAUUAAGUAUGAUAUUGUUGCCUUGCAUGCUUAUAGAAUUUGUCUCAUAAGUAUGUGACGUUUGUUAUGUUCUAAAACUUUGAGUUUGGAACGUGACAUUUUUCAUCCCCUACCGCUAUUCAAUUCAUUUAGAGCCAAGACAUUAGAGAUUAAGAAUAUUGAAGGAAAUUUACAAUGAACUUAUUGCAUUAUAUCAGAUUGGAAUCUGAUAGACAUUAAGAAAGCUAGGCACAAACACCACUAAAACAGGUUUACCAAACUCGGAUUCUAAAUUGGAUUCUUCUUCUUCUUUUGCAAUUUGGAUCUUAAUUAUUUGACCAGAUCUUGCAGACCUUUGAUGAAGUUAUUGAUAUAUUCUUCUUGAAGAUCUCUGUUAGAAAGAAUCUUCUUGAGCUUGGCAUGGUUUCUCUUCAACAGACCAGAUAUUUCAUUGUCCUUGUCCAUCACCAACUUGAUGGCUUUGCUCAAGUUCUCCUUGGAAAUCUUGCUGUUUUCUCCUUUUUCAGCUUCAACAGCAACCUUGAGUUCCUCGACCAUGAAUCUGGUGUUCAGAAUUUGAUCUCCUAAGCGGGGAAUGAACACAAUUUGGCAGUCACUGAGCAAAGAUUCCCACAUGGUUCCCGGACCACAGUGAUUCACGAAACACCCAAUAGAUGGGUGACUGAGUAACAGCUCUUGGGGAAACCAACCACCAUGCAGCAACCCUCUUCCUUGAAUCCUUUCUUGAAACCCUUCAGGCAAUGCCUCUUCAAUCCUUGUGCAUCCGUCUGGUGUUGUUAAAGCCACCAAGAAAGGUUGCCCUGAUAACUCAAGCCCAAGAACUAACUCUUGAAACUCCUCCUUUUGCAAUGUAAUCUGGCUUCCAAAUGCACAAAACACCACAGAACUUGGCUCAAAGUUGCUUAGCCAAUUAGCCCAUUUGUCUUCAAGCUGUGUGGCAUUUGUUUCAGGGAGGCAAGUCCCCGUUAGCAUUGCAGGCUUGCCAAAAUGUUGAGCAACAUAGUCACAGUAAGGUCCCUCAAUUUCACGGUGAGCCCUAAAGGCUAUGACAUCACUGUCAUUCAUGCUAGUUAUUAUCCGGUCCCGAAAUGACAAUCCUAUUCCAAAGAUUUUCAGCGCACUUGUCAGAUCGGAAACCUCUUCAGCUCUGAGUUUCACCUUGGAAGAAGGAUAACCAGGAGGAACUUCCAUCAACUCUUCUACAGUCAUUUCCCUUGUAACUUUCUUUGUCGGCAAAAGCGCGUGUGCGGCUGCAGUCACUGGGGGAUAGUAAAUGGACUUGAUGCCGAUUUGGUGCGCCAAGGCUGGAAUCCAAUACCCCAAAUCAUGGAAAACUAUAUCAGGCUUUAUAGCCCUUAGAAUGGCUUCAACUUGAUCUCGAGUUUGAUCAAACGCAAUAGCAAACAAGCUAUGCAGUGGUAGAGGAACAUCGGAUGUAGUUUGGGCGCCUGGCAGGAUACCAUCUACAUGGGAAACAACAAGAGGAAAGAACUGAAUAAGAUUUGGAUAUUGGUUAAGUUGUUCCAACUUUGGCUGUGCUCCUUUAGGCAAUAAGAAGGAGACCUCGUGACCUUUCUCAGCAAGCUUGUUUGAGAGGUGAAGGUAAGGGAUGAAAUGGCCAAAGGAAAACCAUGGAAACAUGGCUAAGUGAAGCUUGGAGGAGUUGGGGUUUCUCAUCUUUGCCUUGCAAACUGUGUUACUGUGACUGAGUUCAAAGUAAGUUAUAGAUAUCAACAGACAACAUUGUGUGGCAGACAAAACUACUACAAAUUUUGUCGACAUAGCCAAAAAGCAAGUCAUCAUAGUAAUUACCAUGGCAGCAUCCAAAUUUAUAUAAUACUUGAAUUAGACAUCCUUCAACAGCAGAAAAUGGGUAGAAUAAUCAUCAAAAACUUAAAAUUUUAUUUUAUUAAAUUAAUUAAAUAAGUAAAUAGUUAUAUUAACUUUACAUGAAAUAAUUUAAAUAACUACUUGCGUAUAAAAACUUAAAUAAGAUGCGGCUCUUUUCAAUGGUACAAAUGCCUUUAAUGAGAGGAUAUUUGGAAAUGAUCCCUUCAUAAAAAUCAUCCACUCAUACAAAGUCUUUGAUAAAUUAAAAGUCACUUAUGAUGGAACUUCGAUUAAACAUUUGGUUUAACGAUAAGUAUUGAGUUCAAUGCUUUUUAGAGCUUAAGAACUUGACUCAACAACAUUUAUGAAAAAAGGAUGCAAUGAAAAAAGGAUGCAGAUGCAUGGUCAUAAAUGUGUCACUAGAUACUGUGUAUUUAUUAGUGUUGAAAUCAUUGAAUGAGAUGUAUUCGAUUAAUUAAAUGGAAUGGUUGGUUCAAAGUAUAAUCUAUCAUGCAAUUUCGUUUAACUUCAAUAUGUUUUCACUUAAUAAAAGCUCAAUAAGAUGACAUGAGUUUCUAAUAAUUCGAUAUUCCAAAAAUUUUCAGCUUCAUUGUGUCGGACGUUUUCAACAAUAACAAAUGUGAGACAUAAUUUUUCAUUGGAAAAAUAAAAGAACGAAGAAACUUUAAAAAAAAGAUAAGGAGAACGGAUCUAUAACAAUUGGACUAAAAUGGGUUGAUGUUCAAGAUAGAUGAUGAAUAAACUUUUUAAGUCUUAAUUGGUUUUGAAAUUAAUUAAAUUAAUAAUAUUUAAUUAAUAUAUUAUAAUGACACUUGGUGUCAUGUGCUACAUAGAUUAAUCUCAUUAAUUAAAAAUUGUUAGACGAAUAUUAAGUUUUGUGAAGAACGUAUGCCAAAUCUGAGGCAUUAGCCACAGGGUCCAAGGAUGUAUAAAACAUGGGGUGCUUUACAUAAAAUGGUUAAUGGUGGCAGAAUCAACAGAGGAAGCACUCCCCAGAUGUCUUAUGACUAAUCUGUUUACUGUAACUAAGUUUAUGUUUUGUAGGGUAUCUUGUACAUGGACAUGCAGGUAUCUAACAGACAGUCAAUCAUUUAUUUGUUGGCUGUGUAAUUAUCAAACAAUUGUACAGACCCUCAUUAUGCACUCAUGCUGUAAUAUUAACUUUCAGCUAUAAUGUGCUUUUCCAUUAGUUUUUCAUUUUCAUUUUUAAAAUUUUUACCUGUAAUAGUGUGUUGAAUUUGUCACAUUUUUGGUUAUCUGCAGGAUCAGAGUGUUGUGUUUCAUUCAUUAUGUUGACUUAUAGCAACUUCAUGUGUGUUCAAAGUAAUUUACUAACAAGGUAAUUUGUGGGAUGCUUGACUUGACUCUUGAUCAUAUUCAGAUUUUACUGAUUUACUAUCAAGGUAAUUGUAUCACUCACCAAUUAUUUGACAACCCACUAACAUUAUUUUAGAAAAAAAAAGGAAAAAAACCCACUAACAUUAUUUAUAUAUUUUUGUCAUGGGGCCAGAAACAAUGAUUUCAUGCACUUUUGAUUUUGAGGGAUUUGGGUGAGUGCAUGAUAGAAAAAUGAGCAUUUGAUGGAGUAGAUAUAAUUUGUUUUCAUCCCCUACUGCUAUUCAAAUCAUUUAGACAUUAAUAAAUACAGAAAACUUUCUAAAGCCAAGACAUUAGAGGUUAAGAAUAUUGAAGGAAAUUAACAACGAACUUAUUGCAUUAUAUCAGAUUGGAAUCUGAUAGACAUUAAGAAAGCUAGGCACAAGCACCACUAAAACAGGUUUACUAUACUCGGACUCUAAAUUAUAUUCUUCUACUUCUUUUGCAAUUUGGAUCUUAUUUGACCAGAUCUUGCAGACCUUUGAUGAAGUUAUUGAUAUAUUCUUCUUGAAGAUCCCUGUUAGAAAGAAUGUUCUUGAGCUUGGCAUGGUUCUCUUCAACAGACUAGCUAUUUCAUUGUCCUUGUCCAUCACCAACUUGAUGGCUUUGCUCAAGUUCUCCUUGGAAAUCUCCCUGUUUUCUCCUUUCUCAACUUCAGCUGCAACCUCGAGUUCCUCUACCAUUAAUCUGGUGUUCAGAAUUUGAUCUCCUAAGCGGGGAAUCAACACAAUUUGGCAAUCAUUGAGCAAAGGUUCCCACAUGGUUCCACAACCACAGUGAUUCACAAAACACCCAAUAGAUGGAUGGCUGAGUAACUGUGAAAGAAAAUCAAAGAGUUUCUAAACUCUGUGAGUUAACUAAUUAAACAAAAACAGUGAGUUAAUGAAAGCCAACACAUGUGAGAUAGGAGAAGAAUUGCAUGAAGCCAUGCAAAGCCACACCAACCUUUACAUUAAAAUAUAUAUAUAGUUACAAGAAAGAGAGAGAGAAAGCCAUAAUAUAUUAAAUGAUGGGAGAUAAUUGAUCAUUCUUUCAAAACAUUAGUAACCUAUUACUUAGCGGCCUACAAAGCCAACUACCCACUACGAAACAUCACACAAACUGAAAAAUUGAUAAAGGAACUAACACUUAUAAUAAUAAAAUAGCAGAAACUUAAAUGAAUUACGUGGUCAAGGCACAUGAUUUCUUCUUCUCCAUGCUGCAACAACUCUUGGACACGACUAACUUCAGAAAUAUAUUCUUCUGGUCUUCAGGUCGAGGCUCACUCUUCAACACACCUCCUUGAGGCUGACUUGAAGAACUCCAAGUCUUUCACGUAGUAGCUCGAACUUGUUUUUACUUAGGUUCUUGGUGAGAAUAUCAGCUAACUGAUCACCGGUCCUACAAUGAUUAAGAAGGACAUCUCCAUUGUUGACAACUUCACGUAUAGCAUGGUAUUUCACCCGAAUGUGCUUUGUUCUUCCACGGUGUACUGGGUUUUUAGCCAUAGCUAUAGCAGACUGGUUGUCUAUUAGCAGUGGAGUGGCUUUAUGUUCCCUGAAACUCAAAUCAUCAAGAAUUUUUCUCAACCAUAAAACUUGAUUUGUAGCUGAUGCGGCUGAUAUAUAUUCAGCCUCAGUUGAAUAUUGAGCCACCACCUCCUGCUUUUUUGAGCUCCAAGAGAACACUGCACUUUCAAAUGAAACACAAAAACCACUUGUACUUCGAGAAUCCUCUAAACUCCCUACCCAAUCACUAUCACAAUGUCCAAGUAAAUCAUGGCUUUCUUUUUGGUAAAGCUUAAGGCCAACAUCUACCGUUCCUUUCACAUACCUCAGCACACGUUUAGCAGCUGAGUAAUGAUGUUCAGACGGAGAUUGCAUAUACUUGGAUAGCAUACUAAUGGCAUACAUAAUAUCGGGUCUAAAGGCUGAGAGAUACAAUAAGCUUCCUAUUAAGCUUCUGUAGGUAGAACUACAAGCUUCAGGUGCACCAUCGUUCUUACAAAGUUUCAUUCUAGUGGCUAAUGGUGUUGCAACAGUGUCGUAACGUGCGGGUCCGGGAACCCGAUCGCUAGAAGUGAAUGUGAAAACUCACUAAAAAUUAAACUAGGAGUCGCCACCAAUCUUUUUUUACUAGGUGCGAUUGGCCACCUAUUGACUCGAUUCUAAUCGAUGAAAACUUAAAUUAAUUUUAAGCCCACCGAAAAGAACCUUAAACUGGUCUACAAUUUUCUGGAUCUAGGUUCGGGAGUACGGUUACGCCCGGGGAAGAAUUAGCACCCCUCGGACGCCCGUUCCAUGAACGGUACCAUUUUUAGAUUAUCCUAUUGGGCUUUAAUUUUUAAUUUCACUAAAUUUCCUUAAUUAUUAUUUUUUAUUUUAUCUCCUAUUUAACCUAAAAAGGAAUGCAAAUAGGUGGUGAGAUGAAAUGCAUGACAUGAGAUAAAAAUGCCGGACAAAUAACCUUUUAUCGAGAAUAUUUUUCGAAUCCGCCCAUCAUACUGGUGGGACUCGGGAUAUUCUCUCACCUAGGGAAUUAUCCGAGAAACUCGCCUUCGUAAAUUUGACGAAUAAUUCCCGUCUUCGGGGUCAUCGUACGUUUUCUUUUUAAAAUAAUAUUUUGUGCAUAAUGAACCUAAUUCGAGCAAAAGCCUUUUAUUAAAUAUGGUUCUCGAGCCCUCCCAUCACACUGGUGGGACCCGAGGACAUCUUUUCACCUAAGGAACUUUUCGAGAAAUACCCGCCUUCGCAGGAUCCUCGAAAGAUCCCAUCAUCGGGGCUUAGACUCGAAAACAGAAAUAUUUAUGUGCAAUGAUAUAUAUGAUGCAAUACAUAUAUGCUAUGCUGAUGCAAUUAUCUAUAUUUUUUUGUUAUUAUUAAUUAUUUUUAUUUUAAUAUAUAUUUUAUUAUCAUACUAUUUUUAUGUAUUUUUAUAUUUUAUUAUUAUUUUAUUUUUCAUAAGCGAUUUUUAUUCAAACCUAAUGCCUAAGAUCUUAUUUUAUGUAUAUAUAUUUAUUAUUUUUUUUAUCUUUAUCUUUACAUUUCUUAUAGUUUAUGCCACUUAAUACUCAAUGCUUAAUUUUAAAUUAGUUAUUUUUUUAUAUUAUUAUUUAUUUAUUUAUUUAUUUAAUGUCAUGUAUAUUGUAUUUUCACAAAUUAAUUAUUUAUUAUAUGUUUGAAUUAUUAUUAUUUUAUCCUUAUCUUAUUACUUAUUAUUUAUUUUUAUCAAGUAAUUUUAUCAAGUAAUUUUUUUAUAUAAUCAAGCUCUUUAUUUAUUAAGGAUUUCGGAAUCUUGAAAUCGAGGCCCUCCCAUCGUACUGGUGGAGCCUUGGUUCGGAUUUCGAGCCUAGGGANNNNNNNNNNNNNNNNNNNNNNNNNNNNNNNNNNNNNNNNNNNNNNNNNNNNNNNNNNNNNNNNNNNNNNNNNNNNNNNNNNNNNNNNNNNNNNNNNNNNNNNNNNNNNNNNNNNNNNNNNNNNNNNNNNNNNNNNNNNNNNNNNNNNNNNNNNNNNNNNNNNNNNNNNNNNNNNNNNNNNNNNNNNNNNNNNNNNNNNNNNNNNNNNNNNNNNNNNNNNNNNNNNNNNNNNNNNNUAUAUAUAUAUAUAUAUUUUAAGUCAAACUUAGCACCACAAAAUCAAGCCAAUAUAUCUAUAAUAAAAAUGAAAAAUUUACCUUGUUAUGAAUAGCCACUCCCUCCAACACCGAAACAGUGUCGUUUUGUAAUCAAAAGGGGUUUUGGGUGAGUCAAAACGGUGCCAUUUUUAACCUUUGGCCCCUCCCUCUUUCUUCACUCACCAUUCCUCUCCCUUUCUCCUUCUCGCCCGAUCCUCACUGUCGCUGGCACUGCGUCAUCUCCAGAUCUGGUGCCGCGCCAGCCGUCGCUCCUCUCUCUCUGGUGCCGCGCCAGCCGCCGCUCCUCUCUCUCUUCCUCCGUUCGGUGCUCCUUCCCCUCGCGCCAGAUCUUCACUGUUGCUGCUCCCUUUCUCUCUGGUGCCGCGCCAGCCGCCGCUCCUCUCUCUAUUCCUCCGCUCAGCUCUUCCUUCCCUCGCGCCAGCCGCCGCUCCUCUCUCUUUUCCUCCGUUCGGCGCUCCUUCCCCUCGCGCCAGAUCUUCACUGUUGCUGCUCCCUUUCCUUUCCUCCUCCGAUUUCUUUUGUGGAUUUUUUGGUGUGGCUGCUGCUAUUUUUUCCUGUUGCAGGUUCUCUGUUUUUUGUUCUCUCUUUUUUUGGCUCCUUGGUUGCUUUCCAUUGCUUAGAAAGCUGGUAGUUUUUUUGUUGCAGGUUUUUUUUCCAAAUGCUACAGUGUCCCCUCUCCUUUAUACCCGAUUCCCGGGUUCUGGAGGGGACACGCCCAUUGCCUUGUCCCUGGGCACCCAGGGGCAAGUUCCACUAUCCUGCCAGACGCGAAUUUUUCGCGUCUGGCAAGGUGAGAGAGGUGCCUGGCAGGGUGCGUCCGCACCCUGCCAGUCGUACCUCUCUCCCUUUUUUUUCAUCAUUUUUUGUUCAUUAUAUUUUUAAUUUAGUGUCUACAAACAGCCUUGCAUCCCUACAUAUGAAAUCUUUUCAAAAGUUCCUUAGCAUAUUUCCUUUGAUGAAUACAGAUAUAAUCAGGUCCUUGCACAAAUUUUAACUCCAAAAAAUAAGUCAUCUUGCCUAAGCCGAUCAUAUCGAAUUCUUCCAUCACUUGAGUUUUAAACUGGGAAAGCACUUCAUCAUCGGGACUCGUAACUAGCAAGUCAUCCACAUAAAUGACACUAUCAGUUGCACACCAGUAGAAGAACUUUUCACAUAUAAAGUGUGCUCAUUUGAGCUUCUGUUAAAACCUUAACCAGUUAAGUAGCCAUCAAUCCUUUAGAACCAGGCUCGUGGAGCUUGUUUAAGGCCAUACAAGGCCUUUAUCAGUUGGCAAACCUUGCUUUGAGUGCCUGGUUCUACAUAUCCUUCAGGCCGUUCUAUAUAAAUCUCUUUCGAAAGCAUGCCGUUAAGAAAUGUUGACUUCACGUCAAGAUGCCAAAUGCCCCAGUUUUCUUUGACAGCCAAUGCUACCAACAAUCGUAUGGUGUUGUGUCGAGCAACUGGAGCAAAGGUCUCCAUAUAAUCGAUUCCAUACACUUGGGAAUAACCUUUCACCACAAGCUUUGCCUUGUAUUUAUUUACUGAGCCAUUCGGAUUUAAUUUUGUUUUAUAAAUCCACUUUACACCAAUGACAUUUUGAGCUUCUGAUCGAUCCACCAGAGUCCAUGUCUUAUUUUCCUUGAUCAUUUCCAUCUUCACAUUCAUGGCUUGCACCUAUUUUUCAUCUUUUUCUGCUUCAUGGUAUGUGCUUGGCUCAACGAUGGCUAUGUUGCUACGUUCAUAAAUCUCCUGCAAGGUUCUUGUACCUCUUACAGCUAAGCUUUCGUCUUCUAUCUGCUCUUUUUCACUCGAAAAAAUAUCACCAACCAGAUUAGGAUUCCAUGAUUGUUUAACAUCACUCUUGUCCUAACUCCACUUGAGUCUCUCAUCAAAUCUAAUGUCCCGACUAACAAAUAUUUUCUUGAUCUCAAUAUUGUACAGCCGGUAUCCUGUAGACACUUCACUGAAUCCCAAGUGAAUUGCAAUAUGUGAUUUUGGGUCUAGUUUGCUUUUCUUCUCAUUGGCUAUCUUGGCAUAUCACACACAUCCAAAUACUUUCAAACGGACAAUAGAAGGCUUCAACCUACGCCAUGCUUCAUAAGGGCUUUGAGAAGUCAAUGCUUUUGUAGGCAAGAUAGUAAUCAAAUACAUUGAUGCAUUAGUUGCCUCUGCCCAAAAACUUUUAGGCAAACCUUUUUCAUACAGCAAGCAUCUAGCCAUUCCAAUUAGAGUUCUAUUUUUUCUUUCACAGACUUCAUUUUGUUGAGGGCUGUAUGUUACGGUUAAUUGAUGUUUCACUCCAUUUCUGCCCAAGAAAUUUUCAAACUCAUCUGAUGUAAACUCUAUUCCAUUGUUAGUUCUAAGAAUUUUUAAAGAGCAACUAGAUUUUUUCUCCACUAAAGCUUUGAAUUUGACAAAUUUACCAUAGACCUCAGAUUUCCUUUUAAGAAAAAAAAAAUCCACUUAUACCUAGUGAAAUCAUCAAUAGAAAGCAAGUAAUAAAAACUGCCAUUAAGUGAAGCUACCUUUAUUGGACCUCUCAUUUCAAAAUGAACUAGCUGUAGUUUAUUACUAGUUUUUGAGUUGUUAAUAUUUGGAAAAAGGAGCUCUGCUUUGCUUUCUCAAUUGACAAGCUUCACAUAUUUUAUCUGGUUGACUAACCCUUAGAAGACCAUCAACUAAAUUGGUUGAGUACAUAUGCUUGAGUGAACCAUAGUUCACGUGGCCAAGUCUUUUGUGCCAGAGUUCAUUGUCGGAAGCUAAGCAUUGAUAUGCUUCAUGAUCCAUCUUUUUGAAGUUGAUAAGAAACAUUUGUUUCUCAUACCAAUAGUUAAGAUUUCUUUUCCUGUUAGAUCAAAUAUUAUGCAGGAUCUGUCAUUAAACCAUAUGAAAUAGUCAUUUUCUAAUAACCAACCAACACUAAGCAGAAUAUGACUUACAUCAGGUGAAAAGAAAACAUUAGAAAUUGUUUUCAUACCUAUUGGUGUAUCAACUCCUACCUUUCCUAUUCCAAAAAAUCUUCAAGUAUUUUCCAUUUCUAAUCUCCAUUUGAGUCUUGAAGUUUCUGUUCAAGGUAAGGAAGGUUUCGUCAUUCCCAAUGAUGUGGUUUGAACAACCAUUGUCAAUCAGCCAAUUGUCCUUUCUUUUCUAAAUGUCAAGAUUCCUAGCCAUGAAUAAACUUCUUCUUCAACAAUGGCAGCUUUCUCUUCUGAUUUGUUCCAUUUUACUUUGCAGACUGUCUCGACAUGCCCCAUCUGAUUACAUGACCUACACUUCACGUUUGGCUGAACUAGCAGAACCUCUCAGAAUGGAUCUUCUUUUUACAGUAUGAGCAAGGUGAAAAUGUACUUUUUUGUUUCCUUUAGUUUCCAUCACUGGGUCUUCUAUCCCGUUCCUUUUCUCUUGGUCUUGUUUCUUAAUGUUGGAGUUCUUAUCUCUGUUUUUGGCCAUGAAAGCCCUUUCUACAUUAUCUUCAUGUCUUAUCCCUUUCUUGGCUCUUGGGCCUGUAAGGCGUUUACAAGCUUGAUCACAUUAAGCUGUGACAGAUCCUUGGAGUCUUUUAGAGAGGAAAUCUUGGCUUCAAAUUUCUCUGAAAAGCUCACAAGAACCUUGUUGACUAUCUUUCGUUCAAUCAUGUCUUCUUUGAGCAACCUUAGCUGGUUCACCAGCUUCAUGAUUUUGUUGGAAUACUUCUUGAUGUUUUCAUCUUCUUUCAUUCUUAGGAUUUCGAACUCUCUGUGCAGAUUUAAAGCCUACAUUUGUCAAGUCUUCUCACUUGCAUAGAACUCUUCUUUCAAAUGAUCUUAAGCUUUUUUGGGAUUUUUGCAAGUCAUAAUCCUGGUGAAGAUUGAAUUAGACAAUGCAUAGUGAAUGCAAGAGAGUGUUUUAUACCUCUUUGCAACGUGUUCAUUGUGUUGUUUAAUCUGAGUAAUUGUUGGGUUCAUAUGCCUCAUAACUAGAGUGUCACCUCCCACCUCCAUAAGCUCCCAUAAAUCAAAGGCACCAAGAUAUGCCUUCAUUUUCAUAGUCAUAUGGCAUAAUUCUCACCUGAGAAAGUUGGAGGUGUUGCUGCACUGAAGUUCUGGAAGCCAUAACAAUUAAUUUUUUGAAUAAUUUCACAAAAAAGGUCCCUUAAGAUAUUUAAGGCUCUAAUACUAUGUGAAAGAAAACCAAAGAGUUUACAAACUCAGUGAGUUAACUCGUUAAACAAAAAUAGCGAGUUAAUGAAAGCCAACACGCGUGAGAUAGAAGAAGAAUUACAUGAAGCCAUGCAAAGCUACACCAACCUUUUCAUUAAACAAAUAUAUAUAUAUAUAUAUAUAUAACUAUAUAUAUAUAUAUAUGUAUAGUUCAAGAGAGAGAAAGUCAUAAAAUAUUAAAUGAUGGGAGAUAACUGGUCACUUUUUCAGAACACUAGUAACUUAUUACUUAAUGGCCUACAAAGCCAACUACCCACUAAGAAACAUCGCACAAACUGAAAAACCGAUAAAGGAACUAACACUUAUAAAAUAGCAUAAACUUAAAUGAAUCACGUGGUCGAGGCAUGUGAUUUCUUCUUCUCCAUGCCGCAACAGCUUUUUGGCGUGACUAACUUCAAAUAUAUAUUCUUCUGGUCUUCAAGUUAAGGCUCACUCUUCAGCAGUAACAAUUGCUGGGAAACCCAAGCACCAUACACCAACCUUCUUCCUUGGAUCCUUUUUUGAAACCCCUUAGGCAAUGCCUCUUUAAUCCUUGUGCAUCCGCAUGGUGGUGUUAAAGCCACCAAGAAAGGUUGCCCUGAUAACUCCAACCCAAGAAGUAACUCUUGAAACUCCUUAUUUAGCAAUGUAAUCUGACUUCUGAAUGCACGAAGCACCACAAAGCUUGGCUCAAAGUUGCUUAGCCAAUUAGCCCAUUUGUCUUCAAGUUGUGUGGCAUUUGUUUUAGGGAGGUGAUGCCCUGUUAGCAUAACAGGCUUGCCAAAAUGUUGAGCAAUAUAGUCACAAAAAAGCUCCCUUAAUUUGAUGGUAAGUCCUACAGGCUAUGACAUCAUUGCCUUUUAUGGCAGUUGUUAUCCAAUUCAAUUUUUUACCCACGUAAGUGUACGUAUCGCAAAGAUAAUAUAGAGAUGAGUAGAGUGUCAAUUCCACAGAGAAUUGAAUUAAUCCUUAUUCUUAACUACUAAAAUUAACACACUUUAAUUUUAUCUAAACAAUUAAAAUUAAAAAGGAAAAUUUAAAUUAAUAAACUAAAAACUAUAACUGAAACUAAUCUAAAAUCUGUUAAAAAAUUUACUUUAUUAAAUUUGAGUGACUACCAGACCUAGGAUUAUAAUAUCCCUCAAUACUUCAUUUGAAUAUUGUCUCUCUUUCUUAACUUAGUUUAAUGGAUUAAGUUGCUAACGUAGAGUUCUAAAUUAUUUACAAGUCUCUAUCGAGUUUCUCAUAAAAAUACCUCCCUUAAUUAAUUUACUAUAUGUCUAUGCAAAUUAUAUUGAAGAAAGAUUCAUUAAGUUUGUGCUCUAAUUUUGGCUACGUAUGGCUUAUAGGUGUAUGUCUACCCUAUAUGCAAAUCAAAUCACCUAAUCAACUAAGUGUAUUUAAUCAUACACUAUUCUAUUCAAGGUCUACCUAAAUCUCAUUAGUCAAGGUUUAACCUAGGUUUUCAAUUCAAUCUAAUUGGUGGCCAGUCAACUAGAAGCAUUAAGAACAAAAUAAAAUAAACAACUUAAAUUUAUCAAACAUAAGUAAAAGAGAGAUAAAUAAUUCAGACUUCAUAUUGAGUUCAAUCAUAAUAUUAGAUUAAUGAAUUAGUUCCCCAUCAAGUCACAUAUUAUCGUUGAAUAAAGUUUAAACAUUAAGAGCAAAACUAAGAAAAUAAGAGAAUAAAAGAAAAGAUAGAAAAACUCAAGAGUUGUAUUCUUGAUCUUCAAAUCUCCUUAAAUCUUUCAAAUUUUUCUUAGCUUCAAUGACUCUAUGGCUUGACUCUUAGCUGUUAAUUUGGUGUUUUUUUUCCCUUUUUUAACUAUUUUGAAAGGUUGUUUUUAUAGACUUUGAAGUUGGGUCAAGUUGGGUGGAGAAAGAAGUCAAUUUUAGCUAGAAUUUCCUCACCAAACUAUGUGAGUCGCAGCCUUGCCUAAUUAAUUAACAAAAAUCGUAUUGCUCUAGGAUUGUUGCAGUGCAUCAAUUUCAAUAAUAUUUUAAACCAUUUUUUAGGCCGAACUGGGUAAAGUGGUCAACAUAAAAGUUGUAGUUUUUUAUCUUAUCUUUCCAAUGCUCCAAGAAUUGCUUCAUUUGAAGCUCUUUAGAGAAAGUUAUGGCUAAGAUACUAAAACAUAUGCAUUAGAAGUCUGCAUCUUGAAAUUGCUCUCAUUCUUCCAUUAAAAUUCUUCUUUCAUCAAACACCUACAAAAGCACAAAUAAAUCAAUAACAACCUACCUUAACCAUAUUAACACCAAAUUAAGCAUAAAAUUAACUAAAAUUAGAAUAACUCACCUAAAAUAACUAAUUUAAAAUAAUUAAAUAGAACCUACUAAUUUCUAUGCAUUACUACAAGCACUAAGCUAAAUUACUAUCAAAAUUAAGCUCAAAUAACUCUAUAUCAUAGAGUUAUCAGCAGAAUUGUUACAAUAGCAACUUUUUCAGCUUUUAAUCUUACCUUGGAAGAAGGACAACCAGAAGGAACUUUUAUUAGCUCUUCCACAAUCAUUUCCUUCGUAACUUUUUUCAUGACAUGCGUAUUUGCAGCUGUAGACACCACGGCAUAGUGUAUGGACUUGCUAUCGGUUUGGUGAGCUAAGGUUUGAAUACAAUGCCCCAAAUCAUAAAAAACCAUAUAAGGCUUUAUAGCCCUUAAAAUGGCUUCAACUUGAUCUCGAGUUUGAUCAAAUGCAAUAGCAAGCAAGCUACUUAGCGGUUGAGGAACAUUGGACAUAGUUUCGGCGCUUGGGGGGAUACCAUAUACAUGCGGAACAACAAAAGGAAAGAAUUGAAUAAGAUUCGGAUAGUGGUUAAGUUGUUCCAACUUUGGCUGUGCUUCUUUAGGCAAUAAGAAGGAAACUUGGAGGCCUUUCUUAACAAGCUUGCUUGAGAGGUGAAGAUAAAGGAUGAAAUGGCCAAAGGCAAACCAAGGAAACGUGGCUACUUGAAGCUUGGAGGAGUUGGAGUUUCUCAUCUUUGUUUGAAAUUCUGCCUAGAAAUCAAGGAAGAAAGAAAGAAGAUGUAUGUGUCUAUCAUCCAAAUUAUUUAAAACCCUCAUUCACAUCAAUAAACAGUGGUGGUAUGGAUAUCAAUAAUUGAGCUAAGAUUUACAGUUCAAAGGCAAUUGUAUGGAUACAAUGGAUUUUUCCCUUUUUUUUUUGACGUCAAAGAAUUAAAUAAGUCUCUAAACCAUUUAGAAAAAUUUAAAUAAAGUUUUACAUUUAAUCAAAUCUUUGUACUUUUGUUUUGAAACCAAAUAAAUUUUUAUAUUUUUAUUUUGAGUCAAAUAAACCUUUAUACUAAUAAUUUACUUAAUCAAAAUGUUAUUUGUCAUAAUGUGACACUAACGUGAAAUACUAGCGUUUCAUAAUUAAUGAUGAUAUGGCAUAUUGAUGUAUCAUAAUUGAUGAUGAUGUGACAUAUUAAUUUGAAAUUAUAAUUUGACUAUAUUACAUUUUUCACUCUCCAUAUUAACGCCAUGUCAGUGUCAUAUGGAUAUAAAAUGAUAAUUAGUAUUUAAACUAAUGAUAAUUAGUCAAUCAUUAGUUAUAAGAACUUAUUUGAUCCAAAAUAAAAAUAUAAGGAUUUGAUUGAACACAAUAAAAAAAUAAAGACUUAUUUGAAUUUUCUUAAAUAGUUUAGGUACUUUUUUGAGCAUUAUGUCAAAAAAAAAAAUUGAAUGGAUAGUUUACAUCUAGUUCUUUAUCAGAUAUAAUUCUAAUGUUUUCUUGUUUAAUUUUUUGAACAUGUAUAUAUGUUUAUCAUAAAAUCAAACGUGUUAAAGUACUUUUAAUUUCAUGAUUAAUUAAAAGAAAUAUAAAUAAAUCGAGAUGAAAUCGUCAAGUUUAUGGGGUUUUCAUCUUGUUAAAAGUGGCAAGGUUAAUUGUUUUCGAGGAUAACUGUUUUUUUCUUAAAUGACAUUGUAGCUUAAUUGAUAUAUGAUGCAUUGCUCCAUAAAAAUUGAGUUACCUUAACGAUAAGUUUGUCAAAUAGGAAAUUUAUUUCACAAACAAAACUAGAAUCCUUGCAAUUCUACAUGACUGCAUGCAUGCUGACAGAAAGCCUACAACUUAAGAUUAUCAUAUGAAUGCAGCUUUGCUUUGUUCAGUUUGAAUUUAUUUAGAAUAUUAUAGACCCAAAAAUCUAGAAUAUAAUUGCUGCUCAUCUUUUUGUCUUUUGGAAUUGUUUGAAGAUGACAAUAUGUACAACCAUGAUACUAAUAUAUAUAUAAAGGAGGGAUUGGUGUUUAGUUUUAUGUCUUUUUAUUAUUUCCUGUAUAAUUAAUGUUUAGUAAAUUAUAUUUUUAUUUAAUAACUUACUUAUACUCGAAUGUAGAGUUUCUCCAAAUCAAUUCGAUAUUCAUAUUAUAUUAAUUUAAAAUAUUCUCUUUUUUAAUAUAUAUUCAACGGUCGAAAUUUUGUUGUAUCAAAUAAAUAGUUAAACAUUUUUAAUUGUUUAAAAUUUGACAUGCAUGAUUCUUGUGAAUAGAUCAUGAAAAUCCAACGGUUGGAUUAAUGAAAUACAAAUAAAUUUUACACUAAUGUAAGUAAAUCCCUUGUCUCGUCUAUCUCUCUAUAUAUUUAUACUUAUAUAGUAAUAUAUAAGAAAGCAUAUGAACCCUAAAGGUGUAAAUAGUUAACCACAUAUACGCUCUUAAUAAUUUAUUAAAUUAAUUUUUUACCCUAAAUUAAUAAUUUUAUUUUUAAAUUAAAAUAUUGAUAUAAAAAUAUUUUACAUAUGAAAUAAGUUUUUAUCCUUCCAAAGCACACUUAAGUGAUAAAAAUAUUUUUUGAAAAGAUUCUACUCUGUUCCAAACGUAGCCCAAAUAAAUAUCAUUUUCCAUACUCAUAAAGUAAAUCUUCGAUUUGAAUUUUUUUUCCCUUUUAUAUCUUACUCUAAAGGGUAAUUCUUUUUAAUCCCGAAAUUUAUAGGGAUUUUUUCCCCUGUUGUUUUGACUAUGUUUUUCCAAAUCAAGCCAACUUCUUAAUAUUCAUACAUGUUCUUGAUUAAUACAUCUGUGUUCCCCGAGGUAAAUAAAUGAAACAAAUACUAUUACCUUUUAUAUUUAGACGGCUUUUAAUUAUUCUAUGGGUUUGGCAUGUUUACGUGUUAGACAUCCAAGUCCACUUGUGGUCCGACUCUUACUGUCAAUGUUGCAGCCGCUCCUCCAUUGAAUAUCGAGGAACUGAGGGAAUUGAAGACAAAAGUCACGACUAUAAGGGAUGAGAUGUGGAAUAUGAAGUCAUAUCAAGUGUUGCGCAGAUCCUCUAAUAUGUGUAGCCGGCAGCCAAUUUCGAGACUUCAUCAUAGCAGUCGGGCCCUUUUAAUAAUAACGAGGCACGACUGAGAGAUAACAACACUAGUUAGAUUGUAGGUUUAUUUAUUUAUAUAUUUUUUAUUGUUUGUAAUAUCGAAUAAUUUGUAAUUUUUUAUUUAUUUUUAUAAAAAUCAAUUUUUUUUUAUAAAUAUUAGUAUUUUUUAAUAUUAUUAUUUAUUUGUAUUUGUGUUAUUCAUUUAGAAUGACAACAAGAAUGAGCAAAACCAAUCAAUUUCAAUGUUCUUAGAAAAAAAUGGUUUCAUAUAGAUUCCACUUUAUUACUAAUGGAAUUACCAAUUGACAUAGCAGUUUACCGAUGGAAUUAUGUACGACGUUAAUGACAGAAUAAACUUCAUCACCAACAGAAAUAAAGAUAUUAUCGAUGAAAACUACAUACAUUCAAACUACUGAGUUUCGUAAGCACUUUCGUGAAAAAUUUUAUCGAUAAAUUACAGACAAAAUUUGCUAACGAAAUCCAAUCAAUAUAGACCAAUCAUCCCUCCGAUGGAUUGGAUGCUUUGCUGAUUGAGUUUUCGAUAGAAUAUUUUGUCAACAAUUUUUUGACGAAAUAUUCAAGUCUUGAUGGCAUGCCCUUUACCGGUGGUGAUAUUUUCCACGGAUUGUGAACUUUUAUCGAUUGAAAUUUUCAUCGAUAAAAGUGUUAAAUUUGGUAAUGGACUAACUAUCGUUAGUUAAAAUGUCGUUUAUUAUUUUUUGCCAUAUGAUGCUAACAUGACAUAUUAACAUAUCAUAAUAGAUGGUGACAUGACAUGUUGAAAUGACAUAAUGACAUAGUUACGUGGUAUUUUUCAUGCUUCGAGCCAAUGCCACAUGAGUAUAAAAAUUACAAAAUGACAUUUUGAUUAAUCACAGUUAGUCAAUCUUUAAUCAUAAAGGUCUAUUUAAAUUAAAAUAAAAGUACAAAAAUUUAAUUUAACAUAAUAAAAAAAUAAAUAUUUAUUUAAAAUUUUUUAAUAACUUAAGAUUUAUUGCAAUUUGGGUUUAGGUCUAUAUUAGUUUAUAGAUGGGUAACAAUUUAUUGCAAUUUGCAAGAGAAAUUUUUCAUUGCAAUUUAAUUUGAGGGAUUCUUAACUGUUAGUCAUAUUUAGAUUUUAUUAUCAAGGAAAAUUUAUAACGUACAAAUUAUUUGAGAAACCACUAACAUUGUUUAUUUAUUUAUUGUAUGGAGCAAUUAACAAUGAAUUCAUGCACUUUUGGACUUUUGAGGGAUUGGGUGAGGAGAGAUGCAUAAAAGAAAAUGAGAAUAUGAUGGAGUAGAUAUAAUUUGUUUUUUUGUAAUACCCUAACUCAAAAAUACGAUUACAUUAGUAUGCUUACAAAAUCCUAAAUUUGAUAAAUAGGUUUUAUUAAAAUUACUUAUAAAAUAUUUGAGCAUAUAAUAUAAUGGUUGGAUAUUAAGGACCUUUUAGCAAAUAGAGUGGUUUUAUUUUAAUUGGAGUCAGAUAAUAUUAUCGCGUUAGAAAAAAACGGUCAGUUAUAUCUUAUCACAUUUUUUUAAAAAGAAUCAGUUAGUUUUAUCUAAGUUAAUUUUAAAAAGGAAAAGCAAUAAGACACGUUUAAAGGAAAACAGGUAAUGUCAGUUUAUUUUGUCACAUAUGAGUAAGUUAAGGUCAGUUUUCAUUAGCAUGUUUAAAGAAAAAAUACAGUAAAAAAAAAAACCAUUUGGGAGAAACUAAUCCCAGAGAAAAAGAAGGUAGAAAAAGGAUAGAUCUAUUCAAGAAAGCAGUGAUGAAGGUAUGAUUAGUCUUUAACUUUAGUUUAUGUUUCUUUAACUCUCGUUCAAAUCCAGUAUUGUUUCGGUGACUUUCCGAUGGCAUGAUGGGUACCAAUGGAAAAGUCUUGAAAAGAUCUUUCCAAUGGUUUGUGUAGCAUCUCAUUUGACUUUAUGAUUAGAAAGAUACGAAUUUUUGAAGUUGAUUGGAAAUAUGAUUUUAACAGUUUUAACGACCCAAAUUUUGGGUCAAUGGAACUUCAUAUUCUAGUAACAUUUUGGGUUGUUUCUUUGAGGGCUUCGUAGUAUGAAAUGAGAUGUUUAAUUUGGCAUCAAUGGCUUGGUUAGGGGCUUCAUAUGUUAGGAGAAUUAAAGCCUCAAAGUAGGUUUGUUGAAACUGAAAAACCUCUGAAAAAGUUUGUGAUAAUUUCUAAAUUUUUGGCUUUUGAAACUUGAGAAUCUUGUAUUCUUUUUAAUCGAAACAAAUUUUGGUGUUAUAGUAUGAUAUGAAUACUUCAAAUUGGCAUUAAUUUCAUCACUGGAAAUAAUUCGGGUUAAGAGUUAUAAGUAGUUGAAAUAAGCUAAAUGGUCAUGAAAAUAUGAAAUUUCAGAAUUUAUGAGAAUUCAUUUUUAAUUAUUUCAAAAAUUAUUCUUCACCUAUAUUCGACCUAUUUUGAUAGAAACUUUAGAAAUUUAAGCUAUUUGAAUUUUAGUGAAUUUUUUUAUUAAUAAAUAUUUAUCUGAUAAAUUAACUUGAAUUGACAUGUUUUGAAAAUAUUUAUUAGAAAUUAUCAGAUCUGAUUUUGGAUUUGUAUUUAAGAUAUUUUCACCCAAUCUCAUAUUGUUAUUGAUUUUGUACUAUUAUCUAUGAGAUUCUAAGUUUUGAAUGGUUUAUGUAUUUAUAAAUUAUUAAAAGAAUUAAAAUUUAUUUUCAGUCAGCGAAAGAGGUGCUACACCCUAAAUGCCUUAGAAUGACCACCAGAGAGUCAUGGUUCGUUUUGAUAAGUUAGCAAUGUUGGUUUCUAAUUUUGAGUAUUUUGAAUUAAUCGGAUUCAAGAAGAUUUUAAUUUUUUAUCUUUUGAUUUUAGUUUUAGCGAACCAGGUAAGUGAUUGAUAUCCAUUCAGUGUUUUCACACCUUAAAAUUUGCCUCAAUGUGAUUUUCAUACUUGUAUAUGAUAUUUUAUCAUAUGGUUUGUUAAAUUGGGUGAGCAUGCUAAUAUAUGUAAGUAAAUAUGAUUUUUAUGCUGAUUUUUGGAAUAUGAUUUUGAUUUUUGUUCUGGAACGUGAGUUUUAUCAUUGUUUGCAUAUAUGACUAUUUUUGUGAAUAUUUAAUUUGAAACGAUUAUGUUUUUGAUAUGCAUGAGAUAUGGUUUGAGAAAGUGGAUACAUUAUUUUGUGAAAUUAGGAUAAUCUAAAAAUAUAUAUUUAUGUUUUGUCCCCUAGUAUGGCUAUGUUAUGAUCCUACCAAUUAGGGUUAUAUGUUGGCCAUAUCGACAUGUAUUCUGUGAUUAGAGAUCCAUCUCCCAAUUACACCAUUAGUUACAGAAUAAUAGCUGUUCAGAGCAACCAAUUGCUGUUUUUGAUAUACUUAUGACCCAUGCCACUCGAGUUAACUAUGGUUUUGAUAUGAUUAUGACUCAUGCCAUUGAGGUUAAUUAUGGCCAUAGUAUGUUACAAGAGACUAAUAAAAAUUUAAAAUUAGUGUGAAAUUAUGUUUUGUUCUGUUAUUUGAAAGCUUCAAAAUUGUGUAAGCUAUGCUAUCUGAAGUGAAAUUAUGUUUACUUUUGUAAUUUAAAAAUGAAAUUUUGUGAUAUAUGUUUCUGAAUGAAAUUACCCAAAAUUUUGUUUUGACACUUAUAUAUGUAUUAGUAAUUUUGGCCUAAAUGUUUUGAGAAUACUUAACCCAGCAGAAGGAAUGUCCGUUGCUUGUUGAGUGGUUGUACUCAUUCCAUUAAUUCUCAUCAUUUUACAGAUUUCAACAUCUUUGCAUGUUUGGGAGUUAGACUUACUUGGCGAGAGUUUUGGUUAGCAAAAUCAACGUAUGCCUUUCGAUAAUUAUAAGUUUUGAUGUGAGUAAUCAGUUUUUAGUUUAUUAAGUAGAUGUUAGUUAGAUCAGAAAUUUGUAUCAUUUGGAGGAUAAUAUUUUAAUAUUAUAUUUUGAGACUUAAGGUUUUGUGAGGUGUAAAUUUUGAAUAGAUUGUGGAGAUAUUAUAUUGAUUAAGUAUGAUGUUGUUGCCUUGCAUGCUUAUAGGAUUUAUCUCAUUAGUAUGCGGAGUUUGUUAUGUUCUAAAACCUUCGAUUUAGAACGUGACAUUUUUCAUCCCCUACCACUAUUCAAUUCAUUUCGAGCCAAGACAUUAGAGGUUAAGAAUAUUGAAGGAAAUUUAAAAUGAACUUAUUGUAUUAUAUCAGAUUGGAAUCGGAUAGACAUUAAGAAAGCUAGGCAGAAAAACCAUUAAAACAGGUUCACUAAACUCGGAUUCUAAAUUGGAUUCUUCUUCUUUUGCAAUUUGGAUCUUAAUUAUUUGACCAGAUCUUGCAGACCUUUGAUGAUGUUAUUGAUAUACUCUUCUUGAAGAUCUCUGUUAGAAAGAAUGUUCUUGAGCUUGGCAUGGUUUCUCUUCAACAGACCAGAUAUUUCAUUGUCCUUGUCUAUCACCAACUUGAUGGCUUUGCUCAAGUUCUCCUUGGAAAUCUUGCUGUUUUCUCCUUUUUCAUCUUCGACAGCAACCUUGAGUUCCUCUACCAUUAAUCUGGUGUUCAGAAAUUGUUCUUUUAAGCGGGGAAUCAACACAAUUUGGCAGUCACUGUGCAAAGAUUCCCACAUGGUUCCCGCACCACAGUGAUUCACGAAGCACACAAUAGAUGGGUGACAGAGUCAUAGCUCUUGGGGAAACCAACCACCACUCAGCAACCCUCUUCCUUGAAUCCUUUCUUGAAACCCCUCAGGUAAUGCCUCUUCAACCCUUGUGCAUCCGUCUGGUGGUGUUAAAGCCACCAAGAAAGGUUGCCCUGAUAACUCAAGCCUAAGAACUAACUCUUGAAACUCCUCAUUUUGCAAUGUAAUCUGGCUUCCAAAUGCACAAAACACCCCAGAACUUGGCUUAAAGUUGCUUAGCCAAUUAGCCCAUUGGUCUUCAAGCUGUGUGGCAUUUGUUUCAGGGAGGCAAGGCUCGGUUAGCAUAACAGGCUUGCCAAAUGUUGAGCAACAUAGUCACAAAAAGGUCCCUCAAUUUCACGGUGAGCCCUAAAGGCUAUGACAUCACUG